UACGUAGGUGGCAAGCGUUAUCCGGAAUUAUUGGGCGUAAAGCGCGCGCAGGCGGUUUCUUAAGUCUGAUGUGAAAGCCCACGGCUCAACCGUGGAGGGUCAUUGGAAACUGGGGAACUUGAGUGCAGAAGAGAAAAGCGGAAUUCCACGUGUAGCGGUGAAAUGCGUAGAGAUGUGGAGGAACACCAGUGGCGAAGGCGGCUUCCUGGCCUGUUCUUGACGCUGAGGCGCGAAAGCUAGGGUAGCAAACGGG
rnacentral:rRNA from 1 species